CAUUUUUAGAUUUAAUUAAAAAUAACCUCUGCUCAAUGAAAAUUUAAAUAGCCGCAGAAUUUUUACUGUGCUAAGGUAGCAUAAUCAAUUGUCUUUUAAUUAAAGAAUAGAAUGAAAGAUAAAACGAAUUUUAAUUUUUUUAUAAAAUUUACAAUAAAAUUGUAUUAUUAGUUAAAAUACUAAUAAAAUAAGAAAGACGAAAAGACCCUAUCGAACUUUACUACUGUUUAGCUGGGGAAGCUCAAUAAAAAAACCUUUUUGUUUUACCAAAAAUCCCUAAGAAGUUUUAUCUAGUUACCGUAGGGAUAACAGCAUAAUAAAUUUUUAUAGUUCUUAUUUAAAAAAAUGUUUAUGACCUCGAUGUUGAAUUAAUUUUCUUAUACAAAGCAAAAUUUUAUAAAGAAAGUCUGUUCGACUUUUAAAUUUUUACAUGAUUUGAGUUCAGACCGGUUUAAGCCAGGUCGGAUUCUAUCUUCAAAUAAACUCUAUUAGUACGAAAGGACCAUAGAAAUUUAAUUAUUCUAAACAUGGCAGAAUAAUGCAACAAAUUUAGAAUUUGUUUAUAAAUGAAUCUUUUUAAUUCUCAAUAUUUCAUUAAGCUUAAUUAGAAUUUUGCUAAGAGUUGCUUUUUACACAAUACUAGAACGUAAAUUUCUUAGAUACACCCAAAUUCGAAAAGGCCCUAAUAAAGUCGGAUUUUUGGGGUUACUCCAACCUUUUAGUGAUGCUUUAAAACUUUUUAGUAAAUCUUAUAUGUUACCUAAUAACGCUAAUGUCCUUGCAAGUCUAUUAUCAACUAUUUUAGUAUUUAGACUAUCUUUAAUAAUCUGACCUCUUUUUCCUUUUAAUAAAUUUAAUAUAAUAGAUAGAACAUUAAGAUGCUUAAUUUUAUUAAUUAUUUCCAGAAUAAGAGUAUACGCCAUCCUUAUAAUCGGGUGAUCUGUAA
rnacentral:rRNA from 1 species